GACAGAGGGUGAGCAAACGUUGUUCGGAAUUACUGGGCGUAAAGGCGUGAUGUAGGCGGGCGGGCAAGUACCUUGUGAAAGUCCCAACGGCUCAACCGUGGAAACGGCUGGGUAUACUGCCUGUCUUGAGCCAACUAGGGGCGAGGCGGGAACAGACGGUGGAGCGGUGAAAUGCGUAGAUAUCGUCUGGAACGCCGAAGGUGAAAACAGCUCGCUGGGGUUGUGCUGACGCUGAGACACGAAAAGCCAGGGGAGGCGAAACGGGG
rnacentral:rRNA from 1 species